UCUGCACUCCUCCAUCAUACAUAUCAGAUAAGAAAAAAGAUCAGCACUUGAAGAUUUACAAUUCUACAUCUUCAUUUGUCUUACUUCCUAAUGCCACAGGCCUAACAUGGUCACCAAAUGCUGUCAGGCCUCUGCAGUGGCCUCCUGUCACAUCAAUGAAGCUAUGGAUUUCUGAAGAAGGACAAUCUUGUACUGAUACAUGUCAAGUGCAUGGACACAUCUGUGAACCAGAGUUCUUCCAGUUUAUCAAUAAAAAGGAAUUAUUUCUCCUCCUGAAGAUUACUUGUGACAGUACUGAGUCUGAAAUGAAUCACCUUUAUCCAGCAUUUGCAGUAAAUACUCGAGAGUGUUACCUGCAGCGGGAACCACUACUCUACAGCUGUGCAGGACGAAACAGUAAGCACCAACGUCUCUGUCCAUGCCGGGAUUUUCAGGAGAGGCAGCUGGCACUUUGCAAGAACUGCUUAUGAUAUUUGAACUUGCUACCCUUUACCAUGAGCUAAAGGAAUGCCUGAGUAAAGCUGAUGCAUACAUACAACAGUGAAACAUAAGAGAGCAUACAAAGCACAGGACAAGACACUCAGAAACCUAUUCUUCAGAAACACUGAAGGCUCUGCCUUCCCAUGCAGCUUUGAAUGCUGUAAACAACUACAUAGGUUUGCAUUUUGCACAAUCUGUUCAGACCACUCACCUUUACUUUUAUAUAACAUUAAUCUAUUUCCACAGAGAAUUGCAGCCAUGGAGGGGAAAUGUCGUGAUAAGCUGUAGGCACUAUUUCUAAUGUGAGUCUGCAGGCAGAUAGCCCUCAGAUCCACACCACCUUUACAAGAAAACAGCUGGGUAUCUGUCAAAUGAUAUUGCUUUUCCAUUUUGACUUAAAUAUGGCUUCUUUCCAGGUCCUGCUUGCUAUGUACAGAUCCACAUUACCCUAGCUUAUCACAGAAGCAUGAAGCAAAUGACAUCACAUGGGUUAUUGAGUCAAUCACAGAGAGAUGUACAUUUUUCUCUGUGAAGGAGAAGGUAGACGAUUAAAAUGGUGAUAAUAUAGAUAUGCCGGUAGCCAGUUUGUCUUUGCCCAUAAGACUAUAUUUUGCUCAUUUCAGAACUUCUUGGACUACUUAGAAUCUGUGAAACUUGUCAGAUAUGAUGCCUGGUCCAUCUGAAACAGAAAUAGCAGUUCCUUAAUUGGCCACUGUUCUCUCCCGGAACUCCUCUUUUGGACACAUGUCUACAAGAGUGCAGUAUUUUUUUGUUGUAUUUCCUUUGUCAUACUUUCUGCUGUUUGCAUCCUGUUGGAAAGUUGUUUGAUACUAAUAGAGUCCGUGCACAAUCAUAUUGACUUUUUACAGUAUACACAACAGCUUGGGUGCAGUGGACCACUUUGCUUCCCACAGUCACUUGUAAAACAUAUUCAUAGGUGACAUAUCCUGCUAUCAUGAUUAUUUUAGCAUUCUUUGCAAAAGGUGGUAUGGAACAACCGUAUGUGGAAUUUUCAGAUAUGGAACGCUGUCCUUGGUGUUAGUAGAAGUAUCUCAAAACCCAGUAAAAUCAUAGCUGGGCUUCUGCACUAUGCCUCAGCCCCGUGGUAACCUUUAUUCACAUAUAUCUGGAAGUCUGAGGGCAUUAAAUAAUCAUCUCACAUAAGCACCUAGAAAAAUGUUUCAUCAAUGACGUGUCUCAGUGAUUCAUUCCUAAAUGAUUGAAAUGAUGCACUGUAAUUCAUACCAGAGGGUUGGGGUGGGGUGUAACAUGUUUUUGUAAUCCAUGUCAGUGGAUGGCAUGUUUUUGAUGAUGGGAGCUGCUCUGCUACUGAUUUAAACUGAAGAUUGCCCAGAACACAGUGAAGUAACAUUGUUCAGCUUUUCAAAUAUAUGUCAGUACUUUUGCUCCUCUGUGAAAUAAGAGUUAAGGUGCCAUCAUGCAAGCUCCUUGAUAGAGAAAGUCAAAACCAAUGUGGUAAAAUUUGGAAUGAAAAUUAAAGCAAUAGAACACUUGAAUUUUUAUUACUAGUGUUAAUAAAUAUUUUGUCAAGCUGUUUAAAUCAUAA